rnacentral:lncRNA from 1 species
GUCUCCAUGACCCUAUUAAACCCUUGCAAAUUUGCUAUCACAUCUACCAAGGUUGGCUCCCUAAUAGGCAUUUCGUCUCUCACCUUUUGAGACUGAGCAUUAAUAGGCUUUUCCAUGGGUGCCUCAUUAUUAGCCGCUACAAGUGGCUCAUCAUUAACCAACUUAGUGGUUUAGACCUCUCUACCAUGCUUUUUAACAGUGGAAGCUUAUCGUCUCGCAGAUGCAUCAACGUGACCAUUCUGUUCUACCGUGC